GACGAACGCUGGCGGCGUGCUUAACACAUGCAAGUCGAACGGUGAACUCCGCUUGCGGGGGGAUCAGUGGCGAACGGGUGAGUAACACGUGGGCAACCUGCCCUCAGCUCUGGGAUAACUCCAAGAAAUUGGGACUAAUACCGGAUAUGACCGCUGACCGCAUGGUCUGGUGGUGGAAAGAUUUAUCGGCUGGGGAUGGGCCCGCGGCCUAUCAGCUUGUUGGUGGGGUAGUGGCCUACCAAGGCGACGACGGGUAGCCGGCCUGAGAGGGUGACCGGCCACACUGGGACUGAGACACGGCCCAGACUCCUACGGGAGGCAGCAGUGGGGAAUAUUGCGCAAUGGGCGAAAGCCUGACGCAGCGACGCCGCGUGGGGGAUGACGGCCUUCGGGUUGUAAACCUCUUUCAGCAGGGACGAAGCGAAAGUGACGGUACCUGCAGAAGAAGCACCGGCCAACUACGUG
rnacentral:rRNA from 1 species